rfam:Oryza punctata chromosome 10, whole genome shotgun sequence.
UUUAAGUGUAUUUGCGGGUUUCCAUGUCGAAUGUUUGAUCGUCUAUUUUAUUUGAAGUUUUUUUUUAUGAUUAGUACUUUUAUUGUUAUUAGAUGAUAAAAUAUGAAUAGUAAUUUAUGCGUGACUUAUUCUUUUUAUUUUUUCAUAAAUUUUUCAAAUAAGACGGACGGUCAAACGUUGUAUCGACAGGGAUACCAGCGGACCAAUUUCUG